AACACAUAGUAGGUAACUACAACUUGCAAGAUCGGAUCUAAAACACACAUAUAUUGAUGACAACAUAAUAAUUUCAGAUCUGAAAUCAUGGCACUCGAUCCCUAGUGACAAGCAUUAAGCAUGGCAAAGUAGUAGCAACAUCAAUCUCAGAACAUAGUGGAUACUAGGGAUCAAUCCCCAUCAAAACUAACUCGAUUACAUGAUAGAUCUCAUCC
rnacentral:lncRNA from 1 species